rnacentral:rRNA from 1 species
AUUGAACGCUGGCGGCAGGCCUAACACAUGCAAGUCGAGCGGAGCGGCGGACGGGUGAGUAAUGCCUAGGAAUCUGACCGGUCGUGGGGGAUAACGUCCGGAAACGGGCGCUAAUCCAGAAUACUAUCAGAGGAGCCUAGGGCGGAUUGGCCAGUUGGUGGGGCAAAGGCCUACCAAGGCGACGAGCCGUAACUGGGCUGAGAGGAUGAUCAGUCACACUGGGACUGAGGCACGGACCAGACUCAUACGGGAGGCAGCAGUGGGGAAUAGUGGACUAUGGGCGAAAGCCUGAUCCAGCCAUGCCGCGUGUGUGAGGAAGGUCUUCGGAUUGUAAAGCACUUUAAGUUUGGAGGCGUUACCUACAGAAUAAGCACCGGCUAACUACGUGCCAGCAGCCGCGGUAAUAC